rnacentral:tRNA from 1 species
UCCCUUGUGGCUUAGCUGGUAAAGAAUCUGCCUGCAAUGUGGGAGACCUAGGUUCAAUCCCUGGAUUGGGAA